rnacentral:rRNA from 1 species
GUGGCUUCCGGAGCUAACGCGUUAAGUCGACCGCCUGGGGAGUACGGCCGCAAGGUUAAAACUCAAAUGAAUUGACGGGGGCCCGCACAAGCGGUGGAGCAUGUGGUUUAAUUCGAUGCAACGCGAAGAACCUUACCUGGUCUUGACAUCCACAGAACUUUCCAGAGAUGGAUUGGUGCCUUCGGGAACUGUGAGACAGGUGCUGCAUGGCUGUCGUCAGCUCGUGUUGUGAAAUGUUGGGUUAAGUCCCGCAACGAGCGCAACCCUUAUCCUUUGUUGCCAGCGGUCCGGCCGGGAACUCAAAGGAGACUGCCAGUGAUAAACUGGAGGAAGGUGGGGAUGACGUCAAGUCAUCAUGGCCCUUACGACCAGGGCUACACACGUGCUACAAUGGCGCAUACAAAGAGAAGCGACCUCGCGAGAGCAAGCGGACCUCAUAAAGUGCGUCGUAGUCCGGAUUGGAGUCUGCAACUCGACUCCAUGAAGUCGGAAUCGCUAGUAAUCGUGGAUCAGAAUGCCACGGUGAAUACGUUCCCGGGCCUUGUACACACCGCCCGUCACACCAUGGGAGUGGGUUGCAAAAGAAGUAGGUAGCUUAACCUUCGGGAGGGCGCUUACCACUUUGUGAUUCAUGACUGGGGUGAAGUCGUAACAAGGUAACCGUAGGGGAACCUGCGGUUG